UAGGGAAUUUUGCGCAAUGGGCGAAAGCCUGACGCAGCAACACCGCGUGAGCGAUGAAGCCCCUUGGGGUGUAAAGCUCUGUCAGUGGGGAAGAAUAAAUGACUGUACCCACAAAGGAAGCAUCGGCUAACUACGUGCCAGCAGCCGCGGUAAGACGUAGGAUGCAAGCGUUGUCCGGAAUUAUUGGGCGUAAAGAGUUCGUAGGCGGCAUAUCAAGUCUGGUGUUAAAGACUGGGGCUCAACCCCAGAAGGGCACUGGAUACUGAUAAGCUAGAGUACAGAAGAGGCAAGGGGAAUUCCCAGUGUAGCGGUGAAAUGCGUAGAUAUUGGGAGGAACACCAGUGGCGUAAGCGCCUUGCUGGGCUGUUACUGACGCUGAGGAACGAAAGCCAGGGGAGCA
rnacentral:rRNA from 1 species